UAGCGUUGUACAAUGCUUUUGAGCGCCAAUAGCGGUGCCAUUUUUAAAUUAAAUAUCUUCUGUGCUUGCCUAGAAAAUACACGAUGACGAUAUCGACUUUCAAGAACCCGCCGUCAAACUUGAAAAACACAUCAAGGUCAGGACUACAUCAGAGACCAUCUGGGAGUAGAGAUCAGAUCCCGAUCACCAGGUUGACAGUAACGAACAUGACUAACACACAGUAUCGGAUUUGGAUCGGGCUCAUCG